GCGGGAGUAGUUCAAUGGUAGAACCUUAGCCUUCCAAGCUAAUGACACGGGUUCGAUUCCCGUUUCCCGCUCCA
rnacentral:tRNA from 59 species